AGGUUUACGUCCUCGCUGCGCUUGUGGGCGUUGCCGUUGCUGACACUAUCCCCUACACCCCUCCACGUCCCUCCUACAACGCUCCCGCCCCUGCUGGUCCUGCCCAAUACGAAUUUGACUGGACCAUGAACGACGCUAACUCCGGCAACAACUACGGCCACAAUGAAGCUCGUACUGGUUAUGACACUCAAGGAUCCUAUUAAGUUCAGCUCCCCGACGGUCGUCUGCAGAGAGUUACUUAUACUGUGAACGGCGACUCCGGCUACUUGGCUCAAGUUGAGUACGAGGGUGAGGCGCAUUACCCAGCCUACCAACCUGCUUCCAGCUACAGACCAACACCUAGUUAUGCGUAAUAAAAUCUUAGUUUGAAUAGAAA